AGCGAACGCUGGCGGCGUGCUUAACACAUGCAAGUCGAACGAAGGCUUCGGCCUUAGUGGCGGACGGGUGAGUAACGCGUGGGAAUCUACCUUACGGCGGGGAAUAACAGCGGGAAACUGCUGCUAAUACCGCAUACGCUCCACGGAGGAAAGGCUUCGGCCACCGUUUGAGGAUCCCGCGUCCGAUUAGCUAGUUGGUGAGGUAACGGCUCACCAAGGCGACGAUCGGUAGCUGGUCUGAGAGGAUGAUCAGCCACACUGGGACUGAGACACGGCCCAGACUCCUACGGGAGGCAGCAGUGGGGAAUAUUGGACAAUGGGGGAAACCCUGAUCCAGCGACGCCGCGUGAAUGAUGAAGGCCUUAGGGUUGUAAAGUUCUUUCGUCCGUGACGAUGAUGACAGUAGCGGAAGAAGAAGCUCCGGCUAACUUCGUGCCAGCAGCCGCCGUAA
rnacentral:rRNA from 1 species